AGGCUCGUUCGGGUUGCGUCCCGAUCGUCCGCUCGCUCCUCCUUUUGGAGGUGGCGUCGGGUGGUCGGACGUUCUCCUCGGCGGCGUUGGGACGACGCAUGAGUGGCUAUCAGGAUAUGUUCCCACUGCAGGCUCCGUGCUUCUCGCAUCGAACUGCCUUGGUCUUUCCAUUUCAUUUGAUUGCUCGGCUCGACGCCCCGAGGCUCGGUCGCGAGCGUGACGGUUGGGUUCCUGUGCUUGAUACCGGAAUGCGGUAGUCGGAUUCGUUGAUGUCCACGUCUUGAUUCCCUUGUUCCUCCUCCGCCUCCUGUGCGUUGGAGGAAAUCGUGCGGGCAUCGGGGCUCUCCGUCCGGGCUGUCGUUCGCCUCCGGGUGAUACAGCUCGUGUCGGCGCACCGAUGCCGUCCGCUUGCUCUCGGGUACGGAGGUUUCUCCUGCUAACUCGCGGUCCCCCGUUGGCCGUCGCGAUCUCGACAUGUUGAAGCUUCUUUGCUUCCGUUCGUGCGACCCUCGUGCCUUCCUUGGAGCCUCGCGGAGCCCCUCCGCCCCGCGUUCCUCCUUGGAAGUCACCGAGGUCUACGAAGGAGUGCUACCUGGUUGAUCCUGCCAGUAGUC
rnacentral:misc_RNA from 1 species